rnacentral:rRNA from 1 species
UACGUAGGCAGCAAGCGUUGUUCGGAGUUACUGGGCGUAAAGGGUGCGUAGGCGGUCCUAUAAGUAUGGUGUGAAAUCUCCCGGCUUAACUGGGAGGGUGCGCUAUAGACUGUGGGACUAGAGUGUGGGAGAGGAAAGUGGAAUUCUUGGUGUAGCGGUGAAAUGCGUAGAUAUCAGGAGGAACACCGGCGGUGUAAACGGCUUUCUGGACCAUAACUGACGCUGAGGCACGAAAGCGUGGGUAGCAAACAGG